CCUACGGGAGGCAGCAGUGGGGAAUAUUGCGCAAUGGGCGAAAGCCUGACGCAGCGACGCCGCGUGAGGGAUGAAGGUCUUCGGAUCGUAAACCUCUGUCAGCAGGGAAGAACGGUCACUGUGCUAAUCCGCAGUGACUUGACGGUACCUGCAAAGGAAGCACCGGCUAACUCCGUGCCAGCAGCCGCGGUAAGACGGAGGGUGCGAGCGUUACUCGGAAUUACUGGGCGUAAAGCGCUCGUAGGCGGUAGGUCAACUCAAGGGUGAACUCCCCCGGCUCAACGGGGGAACUGCCUUUGAAACUGGCAAACGGGAGUGUGUGAGAGGAUAGUGGAAUUCCAGGGGUAGGAGUG
rnacentral:rRNA from 1 species